rnacentral:lncRNA from 1 species
CUAAAAGGAUUGAUAUUGAUAAAAAAAAAAUAGUAUGGAACAUGUUGAUGGUGUAAUAUAUAUCUAUAUAUAUAUAUAUAUAUAUAUAUAUCUGGUUUCUCUAAAUUAAUAAUAUUAGUAAUGUUAGAAUGAAUUGUGCCUUUGUAACUAAUUUAAUUAUUUAUUAUAUUAUUGUGUAAAUGAUUUUAAAAGAUAUUCCCCAGUUACAAGUUUGUGUUUAUCUUCUCCUUUGUCUUUUUGUUUUUUGUUUUUUGUAAAAAUUGAUUCAAUAAAGUUUUAAGAAUUAAAGAUUCAUCAAAUGUUUUGUGGUGUUUAUUGGAUCUUAUGAUGUAUAGAUGUCAAUUUAUUUAUUUUUAUUUUUUUUGGAAUAUAGGUGAAGAGAGAGUUUUAUGUAAGUUAUUUCCAACUUUAUCAAAAGGAUACAUGAGAAAUACAUAUGAUUAUGUGGUAUUAAGAUAAUUAUUUAAGAAAAAAUUAACAUGUAUAGUCUCAUUCCUAUACAAAGAGAUUUUCAUUACAAACUCUCUUCAAUCAAGCUUCGGUAUCUAAUUCUACUUGUAAAUUGGAUUUUUCAGGCCGCUAUCAGCACUAACAAUGCUUUAUUAAAAAUACUAUUUCAAAUAAAAUUCAACUAAAAUAUUAAAAUAUCACAAUCUCAAAACAACAACAAUUGUUAAUUACAAAAAAAAAGAAAAAUGAAAAAUGAAAAAAAAGAAAAAGAAAAAGAAAAAUUAGGAAAAUUCAUUGUUUUGCAAGGGCAAUACUAUUUUCAUUUUCUGCAAAGAAUAAUAUAUUGAAAUCUAGACUCCACUAUGUUCAUGUAAGUGUAACCUCUAUUAAUCAAUCUAUGAAUCACAUUAAAAAAUCGGAUUUUUGAAAGU